UGUAAUUAUUAUUAUGGAACUAUAAAAUGUCCUCCAUGUUCCCAGAAUAAAGACUAAAUCUUCAGGUGAUCCAGCUUCUUUCUACUGUGACCUGCCUUGGUCUCACAAUGGUGUGAAGAACUGAAACUGGACAUUCAGCAAACAUUUCUCUGAGGCAGAAACAAUGUCAUUGGUUACAUUAAACUUUGGUAGGCAGAGAAUCUGUAAAAAGGAUUUUCUCUGGCCCCUCCCACUGACAUUGAACUCAACCAAUGAGAUUGUUUCUGUCUCCAGAGCAGAAAUGUUUGAGGAACUAAAAGCACAAUCAGCUUGAUGUUGAGGAGAAGGGCUGUGCAGCAGAGAGGCUCUUUAGUUUUUUCAUUCUACUGCAGUGGAAGAACAUUGCUCAUCUGCUGUCAGUUUGACUUUAACAACUCCAAAGACAUGUUGCUUUACCUCUUUUUACUUUUCUCUCACUUUAUAGCCCUGGGUUCCAUGAACAUCAUAAAGCCAGACAAUACUGAAGAACAUGUUGCAGAGGGAAGAAACAUCAACCUGACCUGUAAAUAUGACGGUGCCAUCUUCAGCAUUCAAUGGUACCGACAAUACCAGAGAUCCAGACCAGAGUUCCUGCUCUACAUCACAGAGGAAGGAUUGAUUCAUCCAACUGAUUCUGAUUUCAAAGCUCACAUUAACAAAACCGAGAAACGUGUACAUCUGGAGAUCAUCUCAGCUAAAGUGACAGACUCUGCUGUGUACUACUGUGCUCUGAGGCCCACAGUGACAGGAAACACCAAAACUCUGUACAAAAACCUUUGGAGCAAAGACAACAGAAUACUCCACAACAUCCACUAGAGGGAGUCACACACUGUUAAGCAGUAAAGAUACAGCACAAAAUAAGGGAAAUGUUAUACAUAAAGUCACUUUAACAUGUGUGUAACAUUUCACAUUUCAUCUCUCCAUUGAUGUUACACAUACUAAUGUAAUAUUUGACGCUGAGCUUCCUUUUUCAUUGACGGACUAAAGUUGUACUGUGAUGAUGAUUUUAUUUUUAAAAAUUCUUACAUUUACAAACCCUGAAAAAGGUGAUCCAUCCUUUAAAUCACUAAUUUAAAUCCAGUAAAAAAAAGAAUCAUUAACAGAAAACUUCCCACCUCCAGCUUUUGGAAAAUGCUGCUACCAGUCUGUUAACCAGGAGGAAGAAAAUACAGAUCUAAGAGGAGAGGGAGAGAUUCAGGGAGGAGCUAAGCUGUUACUGAACUAUAGAAGAGAGAGGAACUUCCAUAUUCAGCAGAGUUCAAUACACAAACCAGAAACAUUACCUUUAUCCAACAUGCUGUCACUGCAUCAUUGUGUGUUUUCUCUACUGUUUCUGUACUUUAUAACAGGUGUCAGCUGUGAAGAACUCACUCCAAGAAACAAGAGUUUAGUUUCAAAGACAGCACUGUUACUCUGUCCUACAAUUAUUACAAAGGUAAUGAUGAUUAUUUUUUCUGGUAUCGACAAUAUCCAGGAAAACCAC